rnacentral:rRNA from 1 species
GAAAGAUGGCUUUGGCUAUCACUCUGGGAUGGACCUGCGGUGCAUUAGCUAGUUGGUAAGGUAACGGCUUACCAAGGCGAUGAUGCAUAGCCGAGUUGAGAGACUGAUCGGCCACAAUGGAACUGAGACACGGUCCAUACUCCUACGGGAGGCAGCAGUAGGGAAUCUUCCACAAUGGGCGCAAGCCUGAUGGAGCAACACCGCGUGAGUGAAGAAGGGUUUCGGCUCGUAAAGCUCUGUUGUUGGAGAAGAACGUGCGUGAGAGUAACUGUUCACGCAGUGACGGUAUCCAACCAGAAAGUCACGGCUAACUACGUGCCAGCAGCCGCGGUAAUACGUAGGUGGCAAGCGUUAUCCGGAUUUAUUGGGCGUAAAGCGAGCGCAGGCGGUUGCUUAGGUCUGAUGUGAAAGCCUUCGGCUUAACCGAAGAAGUGCAUCGGAAACCGGGCGACUUGAGUGCAGAAGAGGACAGUGGAACUCCAUGUGUAGCGGUGGAAUGCGUAGAUAUAUGGAAGAACACCAGUGGCGAAGGCGGCUGUCUGGUCUGCAACUGACGCUGAGGCUCGAAAGCAUGGGUAGCGAACAGGAUUAGAUACCCUGGUAGUCCAUGCCGUAAACGA